rnacentral:tRNA from 2 species
GGAGGGUUAGCCAAGAGGCUAAGGCGGAAGUCUGCAAAACUUCUAUUCAUCGGUUCGAUUCCGAUACCCUCCU